UUCAGUCACCAGAUGGUUCCAUUGAGGGCAAAGAGAAAAAAAAUCACUUGCAUGACUUGACUGUCAGCCUGCUCUAUUUGCCUACUCCUCGGCGCCGGGGUCGCGCUGGAGUCUUUAAUGGUUAUAAAACACCUGCUCAGCAAAUCAAACAAACAAAACGGCACGGGCGAGCUGAAAGCCAAAUACCUAUGUGAUCAGGUUAGCAUGGACAGCCAGCUAUGAGUGCUCGUGAUGAGCCAGGAAGCACCGGCAGAUGUCUCACCUUUAGAGCUUUACAAAGGAAUGCAGAAAGAGAGCAGAUAUUCCUCCAAAAACUCCAAGGACUACGGUACAAGAGUCCUCACAGCAUGAAGAAAUAAGAAUUACAUUCCUGGAAUGUAAAAAAUUGUUUUGUUUGUGUUUAUGUCUAUUUAUUGAAUAAAAGUGGUUGAACUGUCAAACUA